rnacentral:rRNA from 1 species
AGAGUUUGAUCCUGGCUCAGGACUAACGCUGGCGGCGUGCCUAAUCUAUGCAAGUUUAUCCGCCUUGUGCGGAUGGCAGACGAGUGAGUAACACGUAGGAACCUACCUUUAACUUGGCCAUAACCCAUCGAAAGAUGGGAUAAUAGCCAAUAGUCUCUUUGGUUGGUAGCCAAAUGAGUAAAGACUUCGGUCGGUUUUAGAGGGGCCUGCAUUCUAUCAGCUAGUUGGUGAGGUAAAGGCUUACCAAGGCUAUGACGGAUAGGGGGCGUGAGAGCGUGAACCCCCACGAUGGCACUGAGACACGGGCCAUACACCUACGGGUGGCAGCAAGUAGGAAUAUUGCGCAAUGCCCGCUCUAAGUGGGUGACGCAGCGACGCCGCGUAUGGGAUGAAGCUUUUCGGAGUGUAAACCAACAUCAAAAAGGGACGGCUAACUUCGUGCCAGCAGCAGCGGUAAUACGAGGGUCCCUAGCGUUGUCCGGUAUUAUUGGGCGUAAAGAGUUCUGUAGGCGGUAAAGUAAGUUUUGGGUUAAAUCCUUCGGCUCAACCGAAGUCUCGCUUGAAAUACUGCUUUACUAGAGAAAUGUAGGGGAGGAUGGAAUGCAUGGAGUAGUGGUGGAAUACGUUGAUAUCAUGCAGAACACCGAAGGCGUAGGCAAUCCUCUGGGCAUUUUCUGACGCUGAGAGACGAAAGCGUGGGGAGCAAAACGGAUUAGAUACCCGUGUAGUCCACGCCGUAAACGAUGUCUACUCGGUUCAUGUUUACGAUUU